rnacentral:lncRNA from 1 species
AAGUGUUUGUGGGUGAAACUGCUGAUUUUGUGUGUGUGUGUGUGUAUUUGUUUCAUUUGUUAAUAAGUUUCGAAAUUAUUAAGAAAGAAAAGAAGGUGCUGCAUGAUAGCUUUUAAUUAUUUCUUUUUUCAUUUUUUAACGGAUAUUACGAUAAGUGACCUAAAUGAAAGUUUUUUUGAGUUUGAUGACCCGAUUGCAAGUUUGUACUCAGUUGAGUGACCAAAAUGCCGAUUCUGCUGACUGUACAUGCCACGGUGGAUUUAUUUAAGCCAAGUCACGACUGCUUAGUCAGCUUUCCGUCAAAUUUUUAACAGAGUUUAACGGCCAGUGACCUGAAUGAAAACUUUUA